rnacentral:rRNA from 1 species
UACAGAGGUCCCAAGCGUUGUUCGGAUUCACUGGGCGUAAAGGGUGCGUAGGUGGUGGGGUAAGUUGGAUGUGAAAGCUCCGAGCUUAACUCGGAAAUGGCAUUCAAAACUACCUUGCUAGAGGGUUGGAAGGGGGACUGGAAUUCUCGGUGUAGCAGUGAAAUGCGUAGAUAUCGAGAGGAACACCAGUGGCGAAGGCGAGUCCCUGGACAACUCCUGACGCUGAGGCACGAAAGCCAGGGGAGCAAACGGG